GGGAGAUGGCUCAGUGGUUAAGAGCACUGGCUGCUCUUCCAGAGGUCCUGGGUUCAAUUCCCAGCACCCA
rnacentral:tRNA from 1 species